AGGGGUCACAUACAAGUUUCUCUCACUGGGUCAUCCGUUGGGCCAGACUUGAGACUUACGAGACACAAAAGAUAUCAUGGUUUUGCGAAACUGACACCCUGUUCUGGCACUCUGUGUGGCUGUGGAUAGUGAUGUAUAGGAGGAGUAGAGAGAGGCCAAAGAGAGGUUAGAGGUAAACACAGAGCCAGAAACACUACAGAGUGGUGUUGUAUAUGAGGAGCAGGGAGAGGUUAGAGGUAAACACAGAGCCAGAAACACUACAGAGUGGUGUUGUAUAUGAGGAGCAGGGAGAGGUUAGAGGCAAACACAGAGCCAGAAACACUACAGAGUGGUGUUGUAUAUGAGGAGCAGGGAGAGGUUAGAGGUAAACACAGAGCCAGAAACACUACAGAGUGGUGUUGUAUAUGAGGAGCAGGGAGAGGUUAGAGGUAAACACAGAGCCAGAAACACUACAGAGUGGUGUUGUAUAUGAGGAGCAGGGAGAGGUUAGAGGUAAACACAGAGCCAGAAACACUACAGAGUGGUGUUGUAUAUGAGGAGCAGGGAGAGGUUAGAGGCAAACACAGAGCCAGAAACACUACAGAGUGGUGUUGUAUAUGAGGAGCAGGGGAGAGGUUAGAGGCAAACACAGAGCCAGAAACACUACAGAGUGGUGUUGUAUAUGAGGAGCAGGGAGAGGUUAGAGGUAAACACAGAGCCAGAAACACUACAGAGUGGUGUUGUAUAUGAGGAGCAGGGAGAGGUUAGAGGUAAACACAGAGCCAGAAACACUACAGAGUGGUGUUGUAUAUGAGGAGCAGGGAGAGGUUAGAGGUAAACACAGAGCCAGAAACACUACAGAGUGGUGUUGUAUAUGAGGAGCAGGGAGAGGUUAGAGGUAAACACAGAGCCAGAAACACUACAGAGUGGUGUUGUAUAUGAGGAGCAGGGAGAGGUUAGAGGCAAACACAGAGC